AACGAACGCUGGCGGCAGGCCUCAAACAUGCAAGUCUAGGGGGUGUAGCAAUACAUCACCGGCGGACGGGUGCGUAACGCGUGGGAAUAUACCUAUUGGUUCGGAACAACACAGGGAAACUUGUGCUAAUACCGAAUGUGCCCUUACGGGGAAAGAUUUAUCGCCAAUGGAUUAGCCCGCGUCCGAUUAGCUAGUUGGUGAGGUAACGGCUCACCAAGGCUCCGAUCGGUAGCUGUUCUGAGAGGAAGAUCAGCCACACUGGGACUGAGACACGGCCCAGACUCCUACGGGAGGCAGCAGUUGGGAAUCUUGGAC
rnacentral:rRNA from 1 species